UGCGUAGGCGGAUUAAUAAGUCAGUGGUGAAAACCUGCAGCUUAACUGUAGGCUUGCCAUUGAUACUGUUAGCCUUGAGUACGGUCAAGGUAGGCGGAAUGUGUAAUGUAGCGGUGAAAUGCUUAGAUAUUACACAGAACACCGAUUGCGAAGGCAGCUUACUGGACCAUUACUGACGCUGAGGCACGAAAGCGUGGGGAGCGAACAGGAUUAGAUACCCUGGUAGUCC
rnacentral:rRNA from 1 species